rnacentral:rRNA from 1 species
CCUACGGGGGGCUGCAGUGGGGAAUAUUCCGCAAUGGGCGCAAGCCUGAUGGAGCGACGCCGCGUGAGCGAUGAAGGCCUUCGGGUCGUAAAGCUCUGUUCUAGGGGAAGAAUAAUGACGGUACCUUAGGGGGAAACCCCGGCGAAACACGUCGCAGGAGCCGCGGCAAUACGCGUGGGAGGAGCGUUAUCAGGACGCAGUGGGCGUAAAGGGUGCGGAGGCGUCGUUGAAAGUCAGGAGUUAAAUCCCUCGGCACAACCGAGGUCAGCUCUUGAAACUGUAGGCUUGAGUGCAGGAGAGGAGAGCGGAAUUCCUAGUGUAGCGGUGAAAUGCGUAGAGAUGAGGAGGAACACCAGUGGCGAAGGCGGCUUUCUGGACUGUAUCUGACGCUGAGGCACGAAAGCGUGGGGAGCGAACAGGAUUAGAUACCCCUGUAGUC